GGCGCACGGGUGAGUAACACGUAGGUAAUCUACCUUUGGAUGGGGAAUAACAACCGGAAACGGUUGCUAAUACCGCAUAAUGCAGCGGCACCUAAUGGUGACAGUUGUUAAAGCGGGGGAUCGAAAGACCUCGCGUCUAAAGAGGAGCCUGCGGCGGAUUAGCUAGUUGGUAAGGUAAUGGCUUACCAAGGCUACGAUCCGUAACCGGCCUGAGAGGGCGGUCGGUCACACUGACACUGACAUACGGGUCAGACUCAAUACGGGAGGCAGCAGUCGGGAAUUUUGGGCAAUGGGCGAAAGCCUGACCCAGCAACGCCGCGUGAGGGAUGAAAUCCCUCGGGAUGUAAACUUCGCAAGAACGGGAAGAAUAAGUAGGGGACAAUACCCCCUAUGAUGACGGUACCGUUUGUAAGCUCCGGCUAACUCCGUGCCAGCAGCCGCGG
rnacentral:rRNA from 1 species